CAUAGCAUGAACUUUCCUUUGUGCUUGCUGUCAGAUGCUGUGAGCAGAUGGGGCCUAGUCCUGCUCUGAUCCAAGCUGGGCACAUUCCAUUGGAACGGUGAAGCACCACUGGGAAUAGCAUUUGUCCCCACCCCUAAUGCUUUGGGGGGGCACUAUCAGUAGCAUUCUACCUGGGCCCUCAUUGGUGUGCAAGGGAAAGAGGUUGAAGAGAAUUAGGAGGACUCAGGACAACUGAGGACUGGGCAGACAGACAGAUAAAAGGAAAAGCGCAAUGUUGCAGAGUAUGUCUUGAGGAGAAUGUUGAAGGAGGAGGUCGUGGCCUUAUGGACCAGUUCAAAGAGAGCGUUCUUUGUGUAAGGAACAGCAUGGAAAAGGACAUGGCUAUAUUUGUGUGAGAUGCUGACA